rnacentral:lncRNA from 1 species
CUAAUCCUCUGAAGACUUCUAAAUCCUUUUGCUUCUGCUCUCUCCCAGCCUAUGUCUCCAGUUCUCCUGACUCACGCUUCAACAUUCCAUCCACUAUAGUACCUAACAAAAAGGAAAGAGUACUGGGCUUCAAAAUAAAGACCCAAAUUCAAAUUUGGAAUCAGAAGCUUCAAAAGGAAGUCCAAAAACAUCCUAUUGGUAUGGUGUGUGUCUGGACUCACAGGUAUAUGCACAGGUGCUGCAUCCAGGAACAGCACAGAUCACAGAGGGCCUGAGGUUUUCUGGAGAGCACAAGCUAGGAUCAUAAUAGCAUAAACAGUACUCUGGAGAGCCCAAAUCUUCAUGGCUGUCAGCAGACACACUGUCACCAUCACAAAACCCAG